GACGAACGCUGGCGGCGUGCCUAACACAUGCAAGUCGAGCGGAGUUAUCCGAGCGGAAGUUUUCGGAUGGAAGCAUGGAUAACUUAGCGGCGGACGGGUGAGUAACGCGUGGGCAAUCUGCCUUUUACAGGGGGAUAACACAGGGAAACCUGUGCUAAUACCGCAUAAAACUGCACUGUGGCAUCACAGAGUAGCCAAAGGAGCAAUCCGGUAAAAGAGGAGCCCGCGUCUGAUUAGCUAGUUGGUGAGGUAACGGCCCACCAAGGCGACGAUCAGUAGCCGAACUGAGAGGUUGAUCGGCCACAUUGGGACUGAGACACGGCCCAG
rnacentral:rRNA from 1 species